GAGAGGGGGGGAUAUUGAUGAAAAUAAUACUGUAGAAAUAAAGAAAUUGUCCAAGGAAAAUUUCAGUACGAAGCAAAAGUUCAGCCAAUCUAUAAGUAUUUAUCCAUGGGUUCUUACUUUCUUGCAUACAUUUGUUUCAAACUGCGGCUUCAUACGAUAAGUGGAAGUUUAAAACCCUGAAAAAUUUAAAUAAUCUGAGAUUUAUUUCUUGGGAAAGCGCAG
rnacentral:sRNA from 1 species